AUUGAACGCUGGCGGCAGGCCUAACACAUGCAAGUCGAGCGGUAGCACAGAGAGCUUGCUCUCGGGUGACGAGCGGCGGACGGGUGAGUAAUGUCUGGGAAACUGCCUGAUGGAGGGGGAUAACUACUGGAAACGGUAGCUAAUACCGCAUAACGUCGCAAGACCAAAGAGGGGGACCUUCGGGCCUCUUGCCAUCAGAUGUGCCCAGAUGGGAUUAGCUAGUAGGUGGGGUAACGGCUCACCUAGGCGACGAUCCCUAGCUGGUCUGAGAGGAUGACCAGCCACACUGGAACUGAGACACGGUCCAGACUCCUACGGGAGGCAGCAGUGGGGAAUAUUGCACAAUGGGCGCAAGCCUGAUGCAGCCAUGCCGCGUGUAUGAAGAAGGCCUUCGGGUUGUAAAGUACUUUCAGCGGGGAGGAAGGUGUUGUGGUUAAUAACCACAGCAAUUGACGUUACCCGCAGAAGAAGCACCGGCUAACUCCGUGCCAGCAGCCGCGGUAA
rnacentral:rRNA from 1 species